rnacentral:rRNA from 1 species
CCUACAGGUGGCAGCAGUAGGGAAUAUUGCUCAAUGGGGGAAACCCUGAAGCAGCAACGCAGCGUGGAGGAUGAAGGUCUUCGGAUUGGAAACUCCUUUUGUUAGAGAAGAAAAUGACGGUAUCUAACGAAUAAGCAACGGCUUACACGGUGACAGCAGCCGCGGUAAUACGGAGGGGGCAAGCGUUACUCGGAAUCACUGGGCGUAAAGAGCGCGUAGGCGGGAUAGCAAGUCAGACGUGAAAUCCUAGGGCUUAACCCUAGAACUGCAGUUGAAACUGGUAUUCUUGAGUGUGGGAGGGGUAGGUGGAAUUCGUGGUGUAGCGGUGAAAUGCGUAGAGAUCAAGCGGAAUACUGAUUGCGAAGGCGACCUGCUAGAACAUAACUGACGCUGAUGCGCGAAAGCGUGGGGAGCAAACAGGAUUAGAUACCCGAGUAGUC